CCUACGUUGACAUGGAACAAAUGAGUGACAAAUUCCACUACUUUAUUGAUGAAUGCCUGCAGAAAAAUCCUGCUGAGAGACCAUCUGCAAGGCAGCUCUUGUCACACCCUUUCAUCACAGAUAUAUGCAAUGAAAGGGUUGUACAGAAAAAUAUUAUGAAACAUCUGCAGAGAGCAAACCAUUGAAGCUAAAAGAAGAAAAUGUUGAAGUUGAAUAACAGAUCGACAUCCACCAUCUGCAGAUGACCAAUUGCCAGAGACUGAGAAACCACCAAACUGCCUAAAGAAAUUCUUCUGUGAUAGGAUACAAACAGAUUCCAGGAACUUCCUGGAAGAAACAUGGAACCAGGGCAGCCAUCGGGGGAGUGACAGGGGCAGAAACAAAUAGGUUUCCGAUGGCAGCCCUCCAUGGAAUCCCCCUUGGAUAAAUUCAUCCUUUUCUCAGAUGAGUCAAAUGUUCUCUUUCUGAAAGAAAGGGGGAUUUUGAAGACUGAAAAAAAUGACUUUUUGUAAAAAAAAAAAAAAAGACGUAAUAGUUUUUUUGAUAUGUAUUAUUUCCUUAAGUGCUUUUAAAAAAAUGUAAUAAAGUAUGUUUUA